CCCAGACUCCUACGGGAGGCAGCAGUGGGGAAUAUUGGGCAAUGGGCGCAAGCCUGACCCAGCAACGCCGCGUGAAGGAAGAAGGCUUUCGGGUUGUAAACUUCUUUUGACAGGGAAGAGCAGAAGACGGUACCUGUCGAAUAAGCCACGGCUAACUACGUGCCAGCAGCCGCGGUAAUACGUAGGUGGCAAGCGUUGUCCGGAUUUACUGGGUGUAAAGGGCGUGUAGCCGGGCUUACAAGUCAGAUGUGAAAUCCGGAGGCUCAACCCCCGAACUGCAUUUGAAACUGUAGGUCUUGAGUAUCGGAGAGGCAGGCGGAAUUCCUAGUGUAGCGGUGAAAUGCGUAGAUAUUAGGAGGAACACCAGUGGCGAAGGCGGCCUGCUGGACGACAACUGACGGUGAGGCGCGAAAGCGUGGGGAGCAAACAGGAUUAGAUACCCUAGUAC
rnacentral:rRNA from 1 species